UCCAUUUUCCUGAGGUUUAAGAGAAAAGCCAAGUUUUAUUUGCAUAGACAAUAAUAACAGUUGAACUUAGAAGAAAAGGAACAGUGUCUGCCUAAAGUUUAUAUUUCUUUACAUUUUGCUCUAUAUUUGAUCAUGUUAAAUGCUGAAAAUAGGCUGCUAGAAAGAUCAAAGCGAAACUGAUGUCCCCAUCUAGUAAAUAUUCAGAACUUUAAGGCAUGCGGUUUCUUUACUAACUUCACUGAUUUUGUCCUUUUUACAUAGCCUUGGCCUUCCUUCAUCCUGAUUUCCUCAAUUAUCUUUACCCCAUUACAUUCAUAUAAUUUGGCAAGCCACCUCGAAUUCUUUUUGGAAUGAGAUGAGACGGUAAGUAAAUCUGAAAUGUCUGAAAGGUGUUGUAAUAACAGGUUCUAAUGGCCAAACUGGCAAAGUCCCUGCUGUUGCCCAUGCCUCCAAGCCUAGUGCUCCUGGACUCAGGGUGUGCUCCGCACGCUGGAAGCACGGGCCACACCAGUAAAAGUAGGUGCUCCAUCAGGGCAGAAACCAGGUCAUCUCAUCGUUGGUGCAUGAUAGAAAUUAACCGACCAAAUAAUGAAGUGGUGAAGAGGGCAACUUCGGUGUCAGACACACCUGUGUUCUCCUUCCUGCUCCGUCACGUGUGUGACCCUGGACAGGGUCCUCCAUCCUCUUCCCCUCAGUGGCUUUGCCAACAACUUGGGAAUAAGAAUCCUGUGUCAUGGGGUUGUCAUAAAGAUAAAGUGAGAUGAGGUAAGUGCAGUUCUUAGCAUAACAAAUGCAUUCAAUGCAAAUAAAAAGCGCUCAAUAAAUGCAGA